GGUGGAGGGAGGAGGUGAGGAGACUUCUGGUGGAGGGAGGAGGUGAGGAGACUUCUGGGGUGGAGGGAGGAGGUGAGGAGACUUCUGGUGGAGGGGGGGUAGGAGACUUCUGCUUCAUUAGAAAUUACGAGGUGAGGUGAUGACUGGAAUUUCAAACAAGACACUCACCAAGCCAGGCUGUGAACGGCACGCAACUCACCCAGUGGUCAGCCACCCGUGUCCUCAGAGGGCUGUGAUUGUGAGCCUGAGUGGUUCCUGUUUAUCUGCUCACACACAAGACAAGACACUGUUUGUUUGCACUGCUGAAGACACUGGAUGCAGUCAUAGAGGCAUUAUUGAACACAUGUACAACUGUUGAUUGAAUAUUCUCUACAUUCGCUGCCAUAGUAUUUGUUAACCUAGAUAUCAACACUAAAAUUAGUGUACUUUGCUCUCUG
ensembl:lncRNA